GUAGGUGGAAGGGAGCUGGUUUUUAGUCGUUGCUCGAUAUUCCAGCUCCUUUCUGUAGAAAACUUUUCGGCAUUUCUUAAAUUAUGAAAUAAACUCUGACCCGCGGCCGCAUGCAGUGGGUUUAACCCCGUCUGCGCUGCCAAGGGCAUGUAAAUGGAGACUGCAGCUUUAAACACCUGGCACGGUCUGGCUGGCGUCGGCUUUAAAUUACUGGAUGUUUGUGCUGCCGAGAAAACGUCUCAAAUCUGUAAACUUUACAUUGUUUUUACUUAAAUUCCGGUUCCGCUGGACGUUAACUGUUAUUAUAUACUGCACAUAAAACCAGAAUCACGCGUUUAACCUUAACUUAGUGAAAUAUAAAGGGAAAGACUGUAAAGCAUUAAAAAUAAAUAUUUAAAUAUAAGUUUCUGUGGUUUAAUUGGUCAUUGUAAUUUCCAGAUACUUAACUACAACUCCCAUGAUUCUCGGCCAGAUGGGGGGGGGGCGGCUUGUACUCUGCAUUAAUAAUUGUCCAGAGUGAUUAUUGGGGUAUUUGAUCACAUGAUCUUAAACCUGCUAUCUGCAGUUAACCCUGUCCAUGCCAGGCAGCUUUCACAUCCUGAAAAACAAAAUGAGGCGUAUUGUAUUAUUUUUGAAGCCGGUGUAUUUGGUUUAUCGAUAAGGUGCAGCCGUGUGAGAUUUGGGGAGUCAGUGACUUCUUUUGGUGCAUGAAGAGCACUUAUACCCCUUCCCGGUGUCCUUUACCACAUUUAGGGCUAACUGGACCCUAAAAAAAACAAACGCCUAUUUCCAAAAAAAAAUGUAAUAUUCUGGGUUGUGUCCUUGUAAUUAGUUUCUGGUUUGAGACGGUAAAUGCAGAUUUUCCAUUUCUUUAUUUAAUAAAAGCUGAUAGAUCUUAA